GACGGCAGGGAGUGUGGAAGGAGAAAGGGGGCGCAGGGGGAAGAGCCAGAUCUCUAGAGGAGCGGAGCGCGGCGGCCAGCCCAUCCCGGAGCUUCGGUCCCGGCCGGCGGGUGGAGGGGCAGCUGGCGGGGACUCGAGCCCGGCGGGGACAGAGAGAGGCUGGCUGGGUACGAGAGGGCGUGAGAAGGGGAGCGAGGCCAGGAAGGGGAGCCAAAAGGGAGGGAAAGGCAGAGAAAGAGCCCGGGAAGAAGGAGGUGGCGGGCAGAGGAACCUAAGAAGAGCGAUGCGCUGGGCCCCAUCCCUGCUGCUCUGGCGGGCAGGGGCCGGAAGAUGGUGGCCAAUGAGGAGGGGGAGUGGAGAGAACUUGAGCCAGGGCCUCCCCUCCCCCAUUUCCUCCUCUGUUUCUACACCCGCUUCUGGAAGGAGCUUGGGGGGGGGGUAGCUCCUAGGCCCAAGGUGGGGGAGGGGUCCUGCUGGCUGUUGAAUUGCUGGUCUCCCCUCUCAGGAAUGGUUUGAGCACGUGAGCUCCAAGGGACUCAGUGUCCCAGCUGCCUUUUCCUUCGCUCCUUAAGGAAAGAUUUGGGAACUCCUUGAUGAAGAAUCUUCUUUGGCUAC